UCGGGUUGUAAAGCACUUUUGUCCGGAAAGAAAACUUCUGCCCUAAUACGGUGGGAGGAUGACGGUACCGGAAGAAUAAGCACCGGCUAACUACGUGCCAGCAGCCGCGGUAAUACGUAGGGUGCGAGCGUUAAUCGGAAUUACUGGGCGUAAAGCGUGCGCAGGCGGUUCGUUAAGACAGAUGUGAAAUCCCCGGGCUUAACCUGGGAACUGCAUUUGUGACUGGCGGACUCGAGUAUGGCAGAGGGGGGUAGAAAUUCCACGUGUAGCAGUGAAAUGCGUAGAGAUGUGGAGGAAUACCGAUGGCGAAGGCAGCCCCCUGGGCCAAUACUGACGCUCAUGCACGAAAGCGUGGGGAGCAAACAGGAUUAGAUACCCUGGUAGUCCACGCCCUAAACGAUGUCAACUGGUUGUCGGGCCUUCAUUGGCUUGGUAACGUAGCUAACGCGUGAAGUUGACCGCCUGGGGAGUACGGUCGCAAGAUUAAAACUCAAAGGAAUUGGCGGGGACCCGCACAAGCGGUGGAUGAUGUGGAUUAAUUCGAUGCAACGCGAAAAACCUUACCUACCCUUGACAUGUACGGAACCUGGCUG
rnacentral:rRNA from 1 species